CAGCAGCCACGGGAAUACGAGGGGGGCAAGCGUUGUUCGGAAUUAUUGGGCGUAAAGGGUGCGUAGGCGGUUUGACAAGUCUUAUGUGAAAUCUCUGGGCUCAACCCAGAGUCUGCAUGGGAAACUGUCGGGCUUGAGUAUGGGAGAGGUGAGUGGAAUUUCCGGUGUAGCGGUGAAAUGCGUAGAUAUCGGAAGGAACACCUGUGGCGAAAGCGGCUCACUGGACCAUAACUGACGCUGAGGCACGAAAGCUAGGGGAGCAAACAGGAUUAGAUACCCGCGUAGUCCCUGUCUCUUAUAC
rnacentral:rRNA from 1 species